rnacentral:misc_RNA from 1 species
GAAAUGCGAUAAGUAAUGUGAAUUGCAGAAUUCAGUGAAUCAUCGAAUCUUUGAACGCAUCUUGCGCUCCUUGGUAUUCCGAGGAGCAUGCCUGUUUGAGUGUCAUUAUAUUCUCAACUCCCCAAUACUUUGUUGUAAAGGAGAGCUUGGAUUGUGGAGGCUUGCUGGCCACUUGCUUGGGGUCAGCUCCUCUGAAAUGCAUUAGCAGAACCGUCUGCGAUCUGCCACAAGUGUGAUAAAUUAUCUGCACUGGCGAGGGGAUUGCUUUCUGUGAUGUUCAGCUUCUAAUCGUCUCAGGACAAUUUCUUGAAUGCUUGACCUCAAAUCAGGUAGGACUACCCGCUGAACUUAA